GGGUUGUGAGGUUAAGCGACUAAGCGUACACGGUGGAUGCCCUGGCAGUCAGAGGCGAUGAAGGACGUGCUAAUCUGCGAUAAGCGUCGGUAAGGUGAUAUGAACCGUUAUAACCGGCGAUUUCCGAAUGGGGAAACCCAGUGUGUUUCGACACACUAUCAUUAACUGAAUCCAUAGGUUAAUGAGGCGAACCG
rnacentral:rRNA from 1 species